AGAAUUUUAAGUUAAAGAAACUAUAAGUUUUCAAAACUUAUUAUAUAUAAAAAGUUAUUUAAAUUCUG
rnacentral:tRNA from 1 species